GGUUCCCGUACGAUCACUGAAGUUAAGCCACAUCGAGCCUGGUCAGUACCGAAAUAGGUGACCGGUCGGGAAAUCCAGGUGCU